GGAUUGUAGCUCAGUGGCAGAGUGCUUGCCUAGCGUGUGUGAGGCACUGGGUUUGAUCCUCAGCACCA
rnacentral:tRNA from 1 species